rnacentral:tRNA from 1 species
AGUGCAUUAGUUCAGUAGGUUAGAAUACUGCCCUGUCACGGCAUAGGUCACGGGUUCGAGUCCCGUAUGCACUGCAA